rnacentral:lncRNA from 1 species
GAGGUGUCCUUCAGCUGGCCCCUAAACAAAUAUUUACUAGUUCAGUGAUAAUGAACACCAUACUAAACUCCAAAUUGUACACAAGAAACAAAAAGUUAAAAUAAUACAAGACUAACAAAGGCCAGAGGCUCCUGACUUGGGACAGGCGCAAAAAUACGGCGGGGUUAAACAUGUUUGUGAGAUCUCAACCCUCCUCCUAUACCUCUAGCCAAUGCAGAAUAGUAAAUGCAUAACAAUACGCACAUUAAAAUUUAGUUCAAGAGAAGUCCGAGUCUGAUGUCAGAAGAUGUAACCAAAGAAAAUAAACAAAAUGACAAUAAUACAUAAAUAACAUCAGACUACU